UGUGGAAGGCGCCGCUGAACGGUCCGACGUUAGGACGAAGCCGGGGAGCAACCGGUUAGAUCCCGGUAGUCCCGGCUGUAACUCUGCGGACUAGGUGUGGGUUCGGCUUCGGGCCGCGCGGUCCGAAGGGAAGCCGUUAAUCCGCCGCCUGGGGAGUACGGUCGCAAGACUGAAACUUAAAGGAAUUGGCGGGGGGAGCACUACAACGGGUGGAGCUUCCGGUUUAAUUGGUUCAACACCCGGGCAUCUUACCAGGGGCGACGGCAGGAUGAAGGCCAGGUUGACGACCUUGCCAGACGCGCCGAGAGGUGGUGCAUGGCCGUCGUCAGCUCGUACCGUGAGGCGUCCUGUUAAGUCAGGUAACGAGCGAGACCCGUGCCCCAUGUUGCCAUCCCCUCCUCCGGGAGGGGGGCACUCAUGGGGGACCGCCGGCGAAAAGCCGGAGGAAGGUGCGGGCAACGACAGGUCCGCAUGCCCCGAAUCCCCUGGGCUACACGCGGGCUACAAUGGCCGGGACAAUGGGAUGCGACCCCGAAAGGGGGAGCAAAUCCCCUAAACCCGGUCGUAGUCCGGAUCGAGGCUGUAACUCGCCCUCGUGAAGCCGGAAUCCGUAGUAAUCGCGCCUCACAUGC
rnacentral:rRNA from 1 species